AUGCGGAUAACCGCGCUGCUCUGGCUUUUGCCCAGCCGGAGCUUUCCAGCGCCACAACAAGCCAGUUCCCCUGGUCCCGUGUUCCCUAGCUACCGCACACCCUGGCAGGGGAGCACUCCGGAUACCCAACUCCGGAGGGAGCCRRGCCAGGGCACUGCCUGGAGAAAUCCCGUGGGAAAUCUAGCCUUGCACCGGUGGGGAUGGAAGGACGCGGCAGAGCCGGGCACGGAUGCUCGCUGCCUCCCCGGGAGCGGGGUUCCCCCACCGGCUGCCUCGGGAAGCCGCGGCGGCCGCCCCGCGUUUGCUCCUCCUCCGCCACCGCCGCCCUGCGCGGCCUCGGUCCGAUCCCUUCGCCUCCUCGCCCAGCCGGGGCCGUUGAAGCUCUGCGUGCGGCUCGGCCCGUGGCGCGGCCUCCGCCCGGAGCUGGCGGCGCGGCCGCUCGCCCGCCUCUGUUGGCCCAAGGAGGAGUCCCUGUGCCGCCCUGCCCUGCCGCGAGCCGGAGGCAGAGACGGAUCCGGCCUCGCUUCCAGGAACCAGGAGCAAUUCGCGGGGCGGCCGGGCGACAGCUGGUGCCGCGGGCGGCAUCCCCGUGCCGCAGCGCCGAGCCGUCCCCGCGUCCUGCCACCCUUUACGGGAGAGCAACCGGUGCGGGGGGGGGGGAAAACCGGAGCGUCGGGAGCACGGAGCAGCCGGCCGCCCCGCAUCCCGCGGCGGCACCGCCGGCGGCCGCGUUAUCGGCACGGCCGGGUUGUUUGCUGGAAAAGGGCGGCAGCGGGGCUGGGUGACCCAACACUUCCUUCCUUUCCUGGAAGCCGCUUGCUCCGAGCGCGACGCUCGCGCGCUGAUAACCGGCCGCUUUCGCAAGCCGCCCGCGCCCGUGCGCCCCGGCUGCUCCGGCUCCACCGGCACCGCCUCGCCGGCCGGCUUCGUGCCUCGGUUUCCCCCCUCGCAGCGGUGGGAAGGCGAAUGCAAGAAGUGGGAGCGCACGGAGGUGCUUUGCUGCACCGUGUGUGUGAUGAAGUGUGUCGGGUCUCAGCCCACGGAGCCACAUGGUGCCCGUGCCCGGGAGCUGUCACAUCCCUGGUGCUUUGCCUGACGUCACGCAGGAGAGGCCAAGACCUGCCUAAACCCUCCCGGAAAGGGGGCCCAGGAGUCCUGGCUCCAAGGCAUCUGCUCCCGGGACACUGGUUUGCAGCUCCUGGGGUGGCUCAGAGCCGGGUCGGCGUUGGCAGCAUCCGACCCGGAGGCGGCUCAUGUCCCCCGGAAAGCCGGACCCCGGAGGGGAUCCCACACCCCCCGCCGGCUGCUCGGGAGGAGGCUGGGACGCCUGGGCCCCUCCGCCGGGGAGCGGGAGCCGGGGCGGAGGCGAGGAGGAAGUUUGCAGGGCGGGCGGCCGCGGGCAGGUAA
rnacentral:lncRNA from 1 species